rnacentral:rRNA from 1 species
AUGAACGCUGGCGGCGUGCCUAAUACAUGCCAGUCGAGCGAACAGACGAGGAGCUUGCUCCUCUGACGUUAGCGGCGGACGGGUGAGUAACACGUGGAUAACCUACCUAUAAGACUGGGAUAACUUCGGGAAACCGGAGCUAAUACCGGAUAAUAUAUUGAACCACAUGGUUCAAUAGUGAAAGACGGUUUUGCUGUCACUUAUAGAUGGAUCCGCGCCGCAUUAGCUAGUUGGUAAGGUAACGGCUUACCAAGGCAACGAUGCGUAGCCGACCUGAGAGGGUGAUCGGCCACACUGGAACUGAGACACGGUCCAGACUCCUACGGGAGGCAGCAGUAGGGAAUCUUCCGCAAUGGGCGAAAGCUUGACGGAGCAACGCCGCGUGAGUGAUGAAGGUCUUCGGAUCGUAAAACUCUGUUAUUAGGGAAGAACAAAUGUGUAAGUAACUAUGCACGUCUUGACGGUACCUAAUCAGAAAGCCACGGCUAACUACGUG